UACGUAGGGUGCGAGCGUUAAUCGGAAUUACUGGGCGUAAAGCGUGCGCAGGCGGUUCGCUGUGUCCGAUGUGAAAGCCCCGGGCUUAACCUGGGAAUGGCAUUGGAAACUGGCGGGCUUGAGUGCGGCAGAGGGGGGUGGAAUUCCGCGUGUAGCAGUGAAAUGCGUAGAUAUCGAGAGGAACACCAGUGGCGAAGGCGAGUCCCUGGACAACACCUGACACUGAGGCACGAAAGCUAGGGGAGCAAACAGG
rnacentral:rRNA from 1 species